rnacentral:lncRNA from 1 species
CUCUAAUUAAUGAUUAGCAAACGUUCAUUAAUUAAAAUAACAAAUUUUGAUAUAUUUAGAUAACAAUUUGACUAGAGACUUUUACGAUUUUUGGAGCAUUUAAAACGCUUUCAAUUUCCAUAUUUUUUUUUUUCUUUUAGAGGCAAAGCAAUUAUGUUUUUUACAUUUAAGAGUUUCUCAAUUUUUUUUUUUGUUUUUUUGGCAUUGCAAGAAGCCUGCAAUCAUAAUUAAAAGAUAGAUAUGUUAAUUUAUAAGUAAUUUUAACAUAUUAGCUAUUGCUAACGUUGACAGUGUCAGGCCUGGAUAGAAUUUGUUAUAACGUUGAGGUAAACGCAUGUUGAAAAAUCGAAGCGAGGUGCUGCUAGCGUGUAAAGAAAGCCGCGAACUAAUACUGUGUGUUUACCCCCUCACGCAAUGCCACUGGCACGUGGUCCUCCAGCUGUCAACGGUCGCUUUCCUGCGAACAAAGCGCCAGACAAAGCAUUCCCGCCAACCAGUGAGGUCCUCGUCCAGGCAUGACCUUCCCCCAACAAAUUGGCAACUAGUAGACAAGUUAUAACAAUUUGCACCGGACGCGAUAACUAUUUAAUUACUAUCACUUUCCUUCAAUUCCGACCGCGAUACGAAAUCAAACUGUUGUCGUCUCCGAAGGGACGAUCAAAGCACAAAAAAAAAAAAAAAAAAAAUGAAUUAUUGAUUUUUUUUUUACGCGGGGGGGCCAAUUACAUUGAAAAUUCGGGCCGUGUAAUGGGGAAGGC